GGGGCUGAAUCUAAGCUCGACGUUGGUACAUUUCGGUGAUGAUUGCAGGUCGCUUGUCAGCGUGAAGUCUCCAUUAGGCGGACUUCUUAUAGGCAACACUGAAUAGAUGCAAAAUCUAUCAAAGAAAGCGUCGUAGCUUUUGGUAAAGGCGUGGCUGCUGUAUUUGCACCCCGCCUCCAGAGCGCGUACGCUCUUGCAGCUUAAGUAAGCUGCAAAAUGUCCCUAACGACGCCAGAAGAGUUAGCGGACGUUUCAUACGAGCGUUAAGCAAGCAAAACAGACUAAGCCUGUAGAGUCGCACCGGUAAGUCCGGCGGACGCGGGGGCGGUACCCGCCAGCUCCACCA
rnacentral:tmRNA from 1 species